AAAAACUCUGAAAACCCCUCUCCGUCCUCUGGCCUGAGUUCCAACAACGGCCGAUGACCACCGUUCACGCGCCUCACGCGCCAUCGUACACGGUGGUCGGAGGUUCAAAAUUUCUCCUUUUUCCGGGCAAAUCACAAGUAUUAUUUCUCCUCUUUAUUUUUAAAAGUAUUUUCCUGUAUUACAACUAAAAAAUGAACUGUUUUCUCUUUGCUUUUUUUAAAAAAAUCUGUUUCUGGAUCGUUUGUUGUAUUAAAAAUACAUGUAUGUAUAUAAUAAAAAAAGAAAGAAAAUAAAAGAGAAUAAAAAUAGUAAAACCUUUGAAUCUGCUGUUUUCGUAUUGAACCUCUGUAUUUUUAUUGCUUCUGUCCCCCUUUACAAGUGAAAAGAAAGGCUUUUAUAGCCACUACUGUGAUUACAUAAGCUGGAAAAAAAUCGAAGAUUUCUUUCCAUUUUUUGUCUGUUGUAUCAUAUCCUUGAUUGUGAUCUGCUAAAUCUCUUUAGUUUCCUUUUUGUUUGCAGGUAACCCACGAGAAUCUCGCUCAAUCACUGAUGUUUGCAUGCUAAUGGAGCCAACGCCAGAUUCUGGCGUGUCUUGCGCGUUGAUGGUGGCGGUGACGAAGGCGUUGAUGAUGGCUGACGAUCCCGACCUUGACUGCAUUGAUGGCCUCGAUUCGGGGAGCAGGACAGACGCUCCCUGAAGCUUCCAGAUCCCUUAAGGUUUGAAGGAAAAAGUUAGGAAGAAACCCUAGGAUUUCUUGUGUGUUUGGGGCUCAUUGGGCCUGCUAAGAAUUUGGGCCAUGAUUGUAUUGGUGUAUUGGGUUAUUGUAACGGGCUAUGGGGUUAUUGGGUUUAUUUGGGUUACUGGGUAGUAACAGUGGGCCUGCUGGGUAGGGUCUUGUAAUUGGACUUUUUAAAUGGACAUUUAAAUUUUUAUAUUAUGCUUUCAGCCUGGUCAAAUUUAGGCUAUUACAACUGCCCCUCUUUGCUUAUUGCUGUGUAACAGGAAUCGAGCAAAGACUCAUAGAAAGACCAAAUUUGACCGGUCCUAUCAUAGUCUUCAAUCUUCUUGACUAUCAUGUCGAUAUCUUCGAUCAUAGGGACGUCAAAUCUGCUUCUUUGAUUUAUUCUCUGACAAUACAGAGAUGCCAAAUUAUCUUAGAUUUAUUUGAGAUCAUCUGAGAGUCAAAUCUGCUAUGUCCUCAAUUUGUUCCUUGUAAAUACAAGGAUACCAAAUCAUCUUGGAUCUUACUUUGGUCUAAACGUCUGAAGAUCAGAUCUGCCAUGUAUCCGCUCCCCAUUAAAUGUGGAGAUGCCAGACUUCGAUUUGUUCUCUGACAAUACAGAGACGACAAAUCAUCUUAGAUUUACUUCAUCGUAAGCACGUGAAAGCUAAAUCAGCUAUGUCUUCGAUUUGCUCCUUGUAAGCACAAGGAUGCCAAAUCAUCUUGGAUCUUGUUUCAGUCUAAUCGUCUGAAGGUCAGAUCGAUCUACUAUGUAUCUGCUCUCUAUUGAAGUAGAGAUGCCAGACUUUGAUUUGUUCUCUGAUAAUACAGAGACGACAAAUCAUCUUAGAUUUGCUUCAUCGUAAACACGUGAAAGCCAAAUCAGCUAUAUCUUCGAUCUGCUCCCCGCUGAAUACAAAGAGAUAAGAUCUGUCAUCUUGGAUCUGCUUCAGCAUAAACAUCUGAAGGUGAGAUCUGCUAUGUGUCUGAAUUCCAUCAAAGUGGAAAUGCCAGACUUCGAUUUAUUCUCUGACAAUACAGAGGCGACAAAUCAUCUUAGAUUUGCUUUAUCGUAAACAUGUGAAAGUCAAAUCAGCUAUGGCUUCGAUUUGCUCCUUGUAAGCACAAGGAUGCCAAAUCAUCUUAGAUAUUGUUUCAGUCUAAUCGUCUGAAGGUCAGAUCUGCUAUGCAUCUGCUCUCUAUUGAAGUAGAGAUGCCAGAAUUUGAUUUGUUCUCUAACAGUACAGAGACGACAAAUCAUCUUAGAUUUGCUUCAUCGUGAACACGUAAUAGUCAAAUCAGCUAUAUCUUCGAUCUGUUCCCCGCUAAAUACAAAGAGAUAAAUCUGUUCAUCUUGGAUCUGCUUCAGCGUGAACAUCUGAAGGUGAGAUCUGCUAUGUUGCGGCUUAUUACCCUACUAUUUUAGGGUUUAAAGCGCGCUGUCUCUGAUAACCUGUAGAAUGAUUAUGCCUGAUAAUUUAGGAUGCUAUGCUUGAAGUGAGUCGAAUGUUCCUAAUUAAACAUGUUAUGAUGCAAAAUGUUGUGAAUAUGACCCCUAUCCUAGACGUUAUCAUUCAUUCCUUAAUUUGUCUUUUCUUUUCUCAAAGUUUCAUUCAUGCUUAGCGUGUAAGCCAUCCUCCAAUGCUACGAUCCACUGAGGAUGUCUGUAAGAACUAAAUUAUUGGCUUUGUCUAUUUUCCUUUUGGACUGGAAGAAAGGAAUUCCACAAGUUCUUUCAUCCCUUACUUACGCGAAUUUCUCGAACAAUUGUCCUGUUUUAGUUUCUUGUAUUAUCUAGAAAUUUUAGAAAAAUAUGCAAAACCUCGUUUGUGAACAUAUUUAAUUCAUCUAUUAUUAUUUCAAUACAACAUACUUAAAGAAUAAUAGAAGAUGAAUAAACUUUUAAGAAUAAUUGGAUUUUAAUGAAUUAUCAAAAAGAUACAAAAGGGAAUCAAUCUGCUAGCCUAUCUUUUAGAAGAAAUAGAAUCUAAAGAUAGCCAACAAGAUAGAAGUUAGAUCCUCUAGAUCUCGUCGCUUGAGUGCCUAUACACCAGCUCCAUUAAUUCUUUCUUGAGUUCAACAUAUGUUUAAAAGAUCCCAAGUACUCUGUUGAUGCCCCAGUUUGCAGCAUUCUCCGCUCUUUGUAGCAAGACCAUUGUGUACUCUUCAAAAUUUGAGCUGCCCUUUCGGGUUUUCAACUCAAAACCCCUUUGGUCACAAGGUGCCCUUUGCGGGUUUUCAUCUUGGCCUCUCUAUUUUUUUUUAAAUCGCAAGGUGCCUUUUGCGAGUUUUCACCUUAGAUUCUCUUCUUUUUUAGACAAAGUAUUUUUUAACUGAGUCCGAGUUCACUGGAUUGGGUAAACUUUUCCCAUCCAUUUCCGCUAAGAAUAAUGCACCACCGGAGAAAGCUUUCUUCACGACAUAUGGCCCUUCCCAAUUCGGCAUCCAUUUUCCUCUAAAAUCCUUUUGAAUAGGAAAGAUCUUUUUCAGUACAAGGUCUCCCUCAUGGAAUUCUCUUGGUCGAACUUUCUUGUCAUAAGCUCGCAUCAUUCGCUUCUGAUACAUCUGACCAUGUCGAAUGGCUUUUAGCCUCUUUUCCUCAAUCAAGUUCAAGUAGUCAUACCGGGAUUGAACCCACUCAGCUUCAUCUAACUUUACCUCCGUCAAAAUUAGAAGAGAAGGUAUUUCUACUUCAAUAGGUAAUACUGCUUCCAUCCCAUAAACUAGCGAGAAUAGAGUUGCCCCAGUAGAGGUUCUGACAGAUGUUCGAUAGGCUAGGAGUGCAAAUGGCAACUUCUCAUGCCAAUCUCUAUAGGUCUCAGCCAUCUUCCCCACUAUUUUCUUAAUAUUCUUGUUGGCAGCUUCCACUGCCCCAUUCAUUUUUGGACGAUAGGGAGAAGAAUUGUGAUGCUUGAUCUUGAACUGGUCGCAAACCUCUGCUAUCAUUUUGUUAUUUAAGUUCAAUGUAUUGUCAGAUAUGAUCUUCUCAGGUAUUCCAUAUCGACAAAUGAUCUCCUUCUUCAAGAAUCGACUCACUGCUAACUUAGUUACAUUCGCAUAAGAGGUGGCCUCUACCCACUUUGUAAAGUAGUCAAUUACCACGAAGAUAAACCGAUGUCCAUUCGAAGCUUUCGGUGAUAUUGGUCCAAUAACAUUCAUGCCCCACAUGGAAAAGGGCCAUGGAGAAGUCAUAACAUGCAAAGGUGAAGAUGGAACAUAAAUUUUGUCCCCAUAAAUCUAACAUUUAUGGCACUUCUUGGUGUAGUUAAUACAGUCUCCUUCCAUAGUAGCCCAAUAAAUUGCCAAACCUCAUGAUUUGCCUCACCAUCAUGAACCCAUUUGCAUGUGUCUCGCACACACCUUCAUGAACUUCCUCUAAAAUUAGCUUAGCUUCCACAGUAUCGACAUAUCUCAAAAGUACUUGGUCUUUCCGUCUCUUGUACAGGAUAUCUCCAUCUAAAACAUAGUCGCAAGCUAACCUCCUCAAAGUUCGUUUAUCAUUUUCACUGGCCUGUUUAGGGUAUUUACGAUCUCUCACGUAUCGCAAUAUAUCUUGAUACCAGGGGUUAUUGUCAUUUCCUUCCUUCUCAAUGUUACAACAAUGAGCUGGAGCCUCGUAAACACUCAUUUGAAUCGGCUUCAUUUCUUCUUCUUUAUUCGCCUUGAUCAUUGAGGCCAAGGUUGCUAAAGCAUCUGCCAUCUGAUUUUCGUCUCGUGGGAGAUAAUUGAAGGUGAUGCUAUCAAAUUCCUCAAGUAACCCCAAAACUACCUUUCGAUAACUAAUCAAUUUAGGGUCCCUUGUCUCUCAUUCACCUCUAAGCUGAUAAACAACCAACGCCGAAUCUCCAUAUACUUCUAGGGUUUUUAUACCUUGCUUUAUAGCUGCUUGUAGUCCCAUGAUGCAUGCUUCAUACUCAACCAUAUUAUUCGUGCAAUCAAAAUCCAACUUGCACGUAAAAGGGUAAUGAUCGCCAUUCGGAGAUACCAAGACUGCCCCAAUUCCAUUUUCGACUGCAUUAGAAGCCCCAUCAAAAUUGAGCUUCCAAGAAGAAUUUCCAGUUAUUGCUAUACACAUCAACUCCUCAUUUGGAAAAUCGAAGUUCAAUGGCUCAUAAUCCUCUAGAGCCCUACUGGCCAAGAAGUCUGCUACUGCACUUCCUUUUAUAGCCUUCUGACUUAUGUAGACUAUAUCAAACUCUGAAAGCAAAAUUUGCCAUCUCGCCAUUCUCCCAUUUAGAGCCGUUGACUCCAUCAUGUAUUUCAACGGAUCAAGUUUUGAGAUAAGCCAAGUGGUAUGGUAUAGCAUAUACUGUUUUAAUCUCCGAGUUGUCCAAAUCAGCGCACAACACAACUUUUCAAUUGGUGAAUAUCUCAUCUCACAGUCAGUGAAUUUCUUACUGAGAUAAUAAAUUGCCUUCUCCUUUUUCCCUGAUUCGUCAUGCUGGCCAAGCAUACAUCCCAUAGAAUUAUUGAACACUGAUAAGUACAGUAUUAACGGUUUAUCCGGGCUUGGUGGAGACAAUACCGGAACAUUCAACAAAUACUGCUUGACCUUUUCAAAAGCAUUCUGGCAUUCCUCAUCCCAAGUACCUUGGUUGUGUUUUCUGAGGAGGCGAAAGAUAGGAUCACAUUUCUCGAUUAGUUGUGAAAUGAACCGAGAAAUGUAAUUCAACCUUCCUAGGAAUCCUCGAACUUCCUUCUGAGUACAUGGUGGAGGUAACUCUCGUAUGGCUUUGACCUUGUCUGAGUCGACUUCAAUUGUUUUUUCACUGACUACGAAGCCUAAUAACUUUCCUGAUCUGGCUCCAAAGGUACACUUUGCUGGAUUGAGCUUCAACUGAAAUUUUCUCAACCUCAAGAACAAUUUUCUCAAAACCUCAAUAUGUUAUUUUUCUGUACGUGACUUGGCAAUCAUAUCAUCAACAUAUACCUCAAUAUCCUUAUGCAUCAUAUCGUGGAACAAGUUCACCAUGGCCCUUUGGUACGUUGCCCCGGCGUUUUUUAGUCCAAAUGGUAUUACUUUGUAGCAAAAGGUGCCCCACAAGGUUAUAAAGGUGGUUUUAUCCAUGUCCUCUAGAUGCAUCUUUAUCUGAUUGUAUCCUGAGAAACCAUCCAUAAAGGAGAACAACGAAUAUCCCGUUGUGUUGUCUACUAAAAUGUCAAUGUGUGGUAAAGGAAAAUUAUCUUUUGGACUUGCUUUGUUCAGGUCUCUAUAAUCAACACACAUUCAUACCUUCUCAUCCUUCUUAGGAACAGGCACAAUGUUAGCUACCCAUUCACAGUACUUCACUUCUUGCAAGAAUCCUGCAUCGAACUGCUUCUUGACUUCAUCCUUUUUUUUCAAAACGAUAUCUGGCCUCAUUCUUCGCAACUUCUGUUGGACUGGCUUACAAUCCUGUCUUAUCGGAAGACGAUGUAUCAUAAUGUCGGUACUCAAUCUGGGCAUAUCCUGAUAUGACCAGGCGAAGAUAUCCUUGAACUCUCGAAGCAACUCAACCAGACCAUGCCUUGUGUCCUCGCUAAUUAGGGUUCCAAUUUUCAACUCCUUCCGUUCCUCUAGGGCUAUAUUCUCUAUUGCCUCUUUCUCAUGUGGCAUGAUUUGUUUCUCCUCUUGCUUUACCAUUCUUAAUAAAUCGAGAGAUACAUCACUAUCUUCAAAAUCCUGAGGUUCCUCUAAACACAUGUUUUGCUCGCCAGAGAAAUUAGAAGCUGCAGUAUCAGCACUCAUAUCAGUGAUAUCUAGGGACCUGUGGGGGUAUGAAAGAAUAUACAAAGAAUGAAUGAAUCUAAGAAUGAUCGUUUAUGUGCUAUGAAUAAAAGAAUAAGAAUUGCCAGAAUUUAAAGGAAUACUGGUCUAUAAAAAUGAAACAAUACUCGUUUAAAUUGAUAAAAGUUAUGUUUUAUUUAAAUAAUUAUAGAUGAACAUAAGCCUAUUUCAAACAUGUAAUCUUAUUACUCCUAGGCCCUAGAGUAACAGACAUGUUUCGAGAAUUACUCUGAAAAAUUCCUAAAGACUACAGGAAGGUCUUCCGCAGUCCAAUUGUUCAGAGAGCUCCCCGAUUCGUAAGGGCGAAUGCCCCCGAGGUUUUCUUGCUCUGAUCCCUUAUUGUGUACAACAUUAACUUAAUGACUUUCUUCUAUCAGCAGUCCUCCUGACUUAAAGGAUUUGGAUAUAGAUGGGAAUGUCAUCGGUUCCCACUCCACUUCUCUUCCAGUCAAACGCGUCUUUCUUCUCGCUUGGCGCUUCUCUAUUUCUUGCCUCCUGUGCUUAUGGUCUGGCUUGAAACCCAAACCAAAACAAUCUUUCUUCUCACUCAAUUUUGGGAUUUGAACCCCUCCUUGCAUCUGUCUUCCUAGCCCUUUUCCUAGCAAUGCUCCUCUCCCUAUCAUCAUUUGUAGGGUCAUCCUCGUGGCUCUAGACAUUUUGGGUGCCGGCAUCACACUUUCUUCCGAAAUGAAGGUGGCAUUUAUGAUUUCUAAAGAGCUAAAAGAACACUCGAUAGCCUCUUCAUUGGCCUCAACAUAAGGGGCCUUGCUGGUGACUGCUGCUAUGAUAUCCUCCUCCGUGUUGAUGGUUAUUAAGCGUCCAUUUGUCACUAACUUCAAUUUUUAGUGCAAUGAAGAGGACACGCUCCUGCCGAGUGUAUCCAUGGUCUCCCUAAUAAACAAUUGUAGGAGGGUUUGAUAUCCAUCACUAGAAAAUCAACUUCAUUUUUUAUUCGGCCCAAUCUCCAGAGGGAUGUCAAUUCGUCCCAUUACUUUCCUUUCAGUUCCAUCAAAGGCAUUUACCACGUUAUGACAUGUUUUCAUAUGUGAACUGUCAAUAGGCAAUCUGUUCAAAGUGGAUAGCGGCAGGACGUUCAAAACAGACCCAUUAUCCACGAGUACACUUGGAAGUGUGUAUCCUUUGCACCGAGUAGUGAUAUGUAGGGCUUUGGUUGACCUUAUGCCCCAAGGUGGAAUUUCAUCAUCAUUAAAAUAGAUAAAAUUGUCAGCACUGAUGUUGUUUACUAAUCGGUCCAGCUUGUUAACGGAUAUGUCAUGGGUGACAUAUGUUUCAUUAAGCACUUUUAACAACGGAUCUCGAUGCACCUCAGAACUCAAUAGUAGGGUUAAUACUGAUAUAAGUGUCGGCUGCUUACGCAACUGCUCCACCACGCUAUACUCGCUAUGUUUUGGGAAUUUUAAAAACUCCUUAGCUUCUUCCUCCUUUACCGGCUCAUUGGUAGGUACUUCAGUCUCCUUUUCCCUUUCAGCCUCGAUAUUUUUCGUCUUUGCGGGCUCCACUCUGAUAUUCCCCACAUCAUAACGUUUCCCACUUCAUGUAUGGGAACUUUCAUUUUGCGUGCCCCUGGCCGCGCUAGCUAUACUCUCCACCUCAGGUAUUGUUAUAUUGCAGUCAUAGCUCCAUGGCACCCUCCUGUCAUCCUUGUAAGGGAAAGGAUUGGGUUUAUGGAUGACUAUUUUGGGCCCAGUUUGCGACCCCGCCUCAUUAUUCCCUGGCAAGGAAAUAAUAAUUCUUGGUUGGCUGGUUCUUUGUCGUUCAUUCUCCAGCACACAUAUUUUUCCUUCACAAGAACUACCCUCAGAAACCUGUAGUUCUUUGUUAACCAUAAGGCCUUGUACCAUAGCCUUGAAUUCUUCACAAUUUUGGAUCAUAUGACCCGGCUCUCCAUAGAAUUCACAAUGGUACUCUAUUUCUUCUCUUCCUUUUCUAGAGGUCAGCAUACCUCUCUUCACCAUCUCCUCCCAUAUUACUUUCAUAGGUGUCUUCACCUUAGCAAUAUCUUCCUUGACUUUUCCUUUCUUUGUUUCAUCAAUUGCAUUCACUCCUUGAUUGCCAUGAUCCGGUAAUGGAUUUUCAGUAUUAGGGGUACUAUCAAAUUUCACAACCCCUAUUUUGAUGAGCCUUUCCACGACCUUCUUGAACCCAGUGCAAUUUUCAAUUAAAUGUCCCGAUAUUUCUGCGUGAUAUUCGCAUUUAGCAUUUGUAUCAUACCAUUUGGGGUACGGUGGCUGUAGCGGUUUCAAGUGAAACGGAGCAAUGGCAUGUGCAUCGUAUAAGCUUUGAUAAAGCUCACGAUAUGUCACAGGGAUAGGGGUGAAUUGCAUUAUCUCCGAAUUCUGUCUUGUACCCGGUUCCUGUCUUUAAGUACUUUGUUGCUCACAGGCAGCUGCUUUAGGUUAUCCAACUGUGAUUGCCCUAGAGUUGAAACUGUUCAUGUUGUUCACCUCAUUGUAUUUUCUCCUUGGAGCCGAUCUUUUAGCCACUUCCCCCUUAAUUUUACCACCCCUUACGGCAUUCUCAAUCAUCUCACCCGCCAUAACUAUAUCCGCGAAACUUUUCGUGGUGCUUCCAAUCAUAUGUGUAAUGAAUGGCGCUUUCAAAGUAUUAAUAAAUAACAUGGUGGUUUCCUUUUCCAACAAUGGUGGUUGUACUUGCAUUGCCACCUCCCUCCAUCGUUGUGCAUAUUGCCUAAAACUUUCAUUAGGCUUUUUCUCCAUGUUUUGAAGUGUGAUCCUAUCUGGCAUCAUAUCAGUCACAUGGUUAUACUGUUGCAUGAAAGCCUGUGCGAGAUCUCUCCAUGAACUGAUUCUUGCACGGCUCAACUGAUUUUACCACCUAGCUGCUGCUCCCACUAGGCUGUCCUGAAAAUAAUGGAUCAAUAGUUGAUCGUUAUUCACGUAACCAGUCAUUCUUCUACAAAACAUUGUUAUGUGUGCCUCUGGGCAAAUAGUCCAGUUGUACUUUUCAAACUCUGGCAUCUUAAAUUUAUGAGGAAACACCAAAUCUGGAACCAAAAUUAAGUCUUUGACAUCAAUCCCAUGAUGAUUAUCAGCGCCUUCUAAAACCCUAAACUUUUCCUCUAACCACCUGCAAUGAUCUUCCAAUUGUUUCGAGGAUUCAGUGGCCAUUCUUUCCUUCUCCAUUAAAUCUAAAUCAGGAGUAAUAGGGUUGAUCGAGCUAUCACCCAAAUUAUUUCCCAACCCAGAUGGGAAAUUUACGGGGAUUCCAGCAUCCACUGGCCCAUGUUGAGGCUUCACGGUGACAGAUGGCCUUCUAGGAUGUGCCUCGGUUUGUAGGGGCACAUGAGGCGGAGUAAAACCCGGAGGAGGACCUUCACUCUCCUCUUCAGUGAUCACCAUGGGAGCUUUUCCUUUAUCAGUGGCUCUUAGUAGCUGAACCAUUUCAGCCAUCAUGUUUCUCUGAGCCUCUAGCAUCUGCUCCCUCAUUUCAUUCUGCAUUUUGGCCAACUGUUCUUGCAUUUGAUCUUGCAUGUCUUUUUGUAAUUGCUCGAACCUUUGAUCCAUGCUCUUAGUUUUAGUACGAGUGCCGUAAGGAUGUGUGAUUUCCAGAUUUUCUUUUCUACCUUUGAAAGUAAACUUUAACUAAUCAGGGUCUUUCUAUAACUUUGAAUGCAAAUGAUGUGAUGAAAUGCUAUGAGAUGCAAAUGCAUAAAUGUAAAAAGAAUAUCGAUUCUGGUUCAACUUCGUUUAGAAAAUUUUAUUUAGAAAAAGAAUAUCUUUACAUAUAAGAGGAUUACAAAUACGCUUUCGCCCUAAGGUCCAAAGCUUUAACUCUAUCCAAUAAAAGGGCUAACUCUCGUCCUACAUCCGACGAUGAUGAAUACAUCAGACUCAAUACAUCAGCUCGAAUUGCCAAGUCUUGUACAUACUCAGCAACCACUCGAAUCUGGGCUAUGGCUUCACCAAUGACAUGAUCCCUUUCUCUGACCUGUCCUCUAGCCUAAUGUAGCUUUCCCCUCAGAUAAUCCUCUUGCGCCUUGAGCUGCUCAACCCGGAGUUCACCGUCAUGCAAUGCCACCUCCAAAUCCUCAACCUUGCUUUUUAGCUUUUUUAACUCAACCGUAGAGUUAUGGUUUUGGUACCAACGUAAGGAUCUUCCAAGCUCAGUUACCCUAGUCUUCAACCCUUUAUUUUCUUCCUCUAAUGCCAAAUUCUGCACCUGCAUCUCUUGGAACUUCCUUUCCCAAUACUCGGCUCUAGCAUUUUCCUCUUGGACUUCUUUCUGCAACUGCUCUGAAGAUCCUCCUACUCUCGCCCUUCUCAAGGAUACUUGUGCCUUUUUGUAAUGCUCUUUUAGAUCAUCUCGAUCUUCCUCAAUCUUCCUCUUUUCUUUCUUCUCUUUCUCGACUUCCAUCUUUUGAACAUCAACGUCCAAACUCAAGUACAUCUUUUCUUCUUCGAGCUUUGCUAUCCUCUUCUCGAACUCCAAGCUUUGUUUCUCGAACUCCUGCUUCAUAAUUUCUAACUCAGAGGGCCUUACUUGCAAAUAUUCCUCCACUGGUCGAGCUCAUUCCACACUUGGCUUAGGGAUAUUAUCAUUAACCCUUCUACCUCUCCAUUCUACGUAUUCCGGUGUCGUAGCGGGGCUAAUAACUACUCCUCUCAAUCGAUAAGUCUUCUUCCAAGCACUAGAAAUUUCGCUAACCCUCCUCUUGUAAUCGGCUCCUCUAUAUACAAAUUCACUUUGAGCCAACCCAUGAGUCACUGGCACGAACUGUCUCAACCCGUGAUGCCUUAAUACAAGCAAUGGGGCAUAACCAAUGGCACCCCAAAUUCCCAAUAGGGGUACCCAAUCAAAACUGCCGCAUCGGUAAAGAACCUCACCAGGUAUUAUCCACGGAGCCCUCCACUCAACAUCUUUCGACUGAAGGUUCUGAAGUAGCGCUAUCCAAUUCUCUUCUGGAACAUCAACUCUCCUGGUUGAAGCUACUAUAUCUUUCAACGGUGAAUAAUCCUCUUUAAAAUACUUUGAUUUUGAAAAUUUGGGUAAUAUCUAAAGUUUAAACCUAACUAAGUUGGGCUCAUACGGUCUUUCGAUAUGAGGUUGGUUCUAAAGUUUGAGGUACCUGAACCAGCAGAUUCCUCGAUUCUCACCCAUUAUAGGCUCAUUUAAAUCGAGUUCAGUUCAGGGGAAUACAUUUCCCUAAGGCUACACGGAGAUGAAAAUCUCACGAAACCAUAGGUACGGUUGUAUUCCGAAAGUGAUCCACUAUCCUGCACGGAGGCGAAAACCUCACGAAGGCGUAACUUCUCACUCCCACUUAAGGGUGUGACCACAAUGGUCAUGCAAAUGCAAUGCGUAUCAGAAUAUAGCAACACAUGCAAUAAUACAAACACAUGUAAUGCAAAGAGGAUUAAAUUUUAAAAUUUUUAAUUUCUGACAUUAAGACAAGAGAUAAUCAAUUACACGACUUGACUCUCUUAUUAGUCCCCAGUGGAGUCGCCAAGCUGCCGAAACCAUUUUCAAAUCGAGUUUUGGAAAAUGGGAAUCGAUUUUAAAAAACGAAAACGGGAGUCGCCACCAAUCUUUUUAGGUGUGAUUGGAUCACCUUUAAAACAUUUUAUUUUAAAAUCAUUAGUUUUGGUCCAUGAAAUAAAAGAACGAGUUCGAGAGUCGGUUACGUACGAGGAAGGAUUAGCACCCUCGUAACGCCCAACAAUUGGUACCUAAUUGAUUAUCAAAUGUCUUUAAUGUCGCAAAUUUAAAAAUUUUUAAGAUGUAAUCCUCUUUAAAAUACUUUGAUUUUGAAAAUUUGGGUUCACUCGUAUCAAAACAUUGACACUAAGUUAACCUUUUGCAAAUCCCUAUCUCGAAACGACAAAUCGCCACAUCCAAUAAGUUAGGACACAACGCUUUGAAAUCCCAAGACAGUUGCUCGUAUUUUAAAAAUCUUAAAAACUUAGAAAGGUACUUGACUAUUCGAACUCCACGAGAAAAGUCGCAACCCAAUAAGUUAGGGCACUACUUUUCUCGAAGCUUCCAAACACCGAGCAUUGCCUUUUUAUAUUUUUUGAAAAGUUUAAAGUCUCAUUUUUAAAUCGAUGCAUGAAGGUACAUAUUAAUAUAACAUACGAGAUAACAUGUUACAAUGAUAGGAAAGUAAGAGCAUAACGGCAUAAAUAUCAUACACUAAUCAACAUAUAUAAGAAAUAAAACAUGACAAUUUUUAAAUAAGAAAAAUAUACAUAAAACGGAAUACAUAUUAAAGAAGAAAUAGGUAAAAUCCCUAAACAUAUAAUUCAACAUAUAUUUAAUCACAUAAAUGAUGCAUGAUAUACAAUAUAUCAACGUACAUAAAAAAUAAUAUGCAUUUGAAAAUAAAAUAUAAAAGUCUAAGAUAUUACAUAACAUAACAAAAAUACAUUAAUACUAAAGUAAAAAUAAAUAUUGUAUAAUAAUAAAAGUUUAAAAAAUAUAUGUAUCAUAUAAACAAAUAAUAAAAUGUGAAUUUAAUAAUAUAAUAAAAAAAUAUAAUUAUAAGAAUAAUAAUUACAUAAAAAAUAUAAAAGAUAUUGGUUUAGUAAAAUAAUGUAUAGAAUAUGAAAUAUGUAAAAUUAUUUAUAUUUAUAAUGAAAUAAUUAUAAUAUAUAUAAAUAUAAGUUUAAAAUGAAUAAUUAAUAAUGAAAUCUACGUAUUAUACAAAUUAUAAUAUUAUAAUAUCUUCAAAAUGUGUAAUAAUAGAAUAUAAAUAAAAUAAUUAUUAACAUAUAAAUAAAAAAUAAAUAUAUAAUACAAGUUUAAAACCUUUAAUGAUAAUAAUGUAUAGAUAAAAAUGUAUAAUAAUAUAAAAAUGACAUAAUAACAUAUAAUAUAAUUAUAAUGUAUAAUAUAAAAGUAUAUAUAUAUAAAAAUAAUAUAUAAUAUAUAAUUAAUAAACAUAUAAUAUAAUAAUAAUAUAUAAAUAAUAAUGUAAAAUAAUAAUAAUUUAUGAAAAAUAAUAUAUAAUAAAUAAUAAUAUAUAAUAUAUAAUAAAAUAAUUAUAUAACAUAAAAAUAAGGUUUAAAAAAAUAAAACAAAUAACAAUGUAAAAUAUAUAUAUAAUAAUAAUGAUAAAUAUAGGGUUAGAUUUGAAAUUCAAUAAAAUUACAGGGCGAAUUUAAAAGAAAUAACAUUGGAUUAAGGUCCUAAUUGCAACGCUCGAAAAAUAAAAGGGACUCAUUGGGAAAAAUACCCUAUUCCCAAAACGUCAGCGCUUUGAUUCUGUGUUUAUAAAAGGGUCAGGGAUCAUAUUGAAAUCAAAAUAAAAAUAAUGGGCAAAAAUUAAAAAUUGCAAUAAACUUAAUUUGACAGAUAAAAAGACGAAAGGACUAAAGGAAAUUAUCCCAUUUUCUUAAAACACGCGGACCAUCCGGGUCGGAUCGGGUCGGAUCUUGGGCCCUAUAUAAUUUAAAUUCUGAUUUUAAAAUUCAUUUCUAACACCCCCUUUUAAAAAAAAAACUCUGAAAACCCCUCUCCGUCCUCUGGCCUGAGUUCCAACAACGGCCGAUGACCACCGUUCACGCGCCUCACGCGCCUCACGCUCCUCACGCGCCUCACGCGCCUCACGUGCCUCACGCGCCAUUGUACACGGUGGUCGGAGGUUCAAAAUUUCUCCUUUUUCCGGGAAAAUCACAGGUAUUAUUUCUCCUCUUUAUUUUUAAAAGUAUUUUCCUGUAUUACAACUCAAAAAUGAACUGUUUUCUUUUUACUUUUUUUUAAAAAAUCUGUUUCUGGAUCGUUUGUUGUAUUAAAAAUACAUGUAUGUAUAUAAUAAAAAAAAGAAAGAAAAUAAAAGAGAAUAAAAAUAGUAAAACCUUUGAAUCUGUUGUUUUCGUAUUGAACCUCUGUAUUUUUAUUGCUUCUCCCCCCCUCAUUUACAAGUGAAAAGAAAGGCUUUUAUAGCCACUACUGUGAUUACAUAAACUGGAAAGAAAUCAAAGAUUUCUUUCCAUUUUUUGUCUGCUAUAUCAUAUCCUUGAUUGUGAUAUGCUAAAUCUCUUUAGUUUCCUUUUUGUUUGCAGGUAACCCACGAGAAUCUCGCUCAACCACUGAUGUUUGCACGCUAAUGGAGCCAACGCCAGAUUCUGGCGUGUCUUACGUGUUGAUGGUGGCGGUGACGAAGGCGUCGAUGAUGGCUGACGAUACCGGCCUUGACUGCAUUGAUGGCCUCGAUUCGGGGAGCUGGACAGACGCUCCCCGAAGCUUCCAGAAUCCCUUACGGCGCGAGGGAAAAAGUUAGGAAGAAACCCUAGGAUUUCUUGUGUGUUUGGGGCUCAUUGGGCCUGCUAAGAAUUUGGGCCAUGACUGUAUUGGUGUAUUGGGUUAUUGUAACGGGCUAUGGGGUUAUUGGGUUUAUUUGGGUUGCUGGGUAGUAACAAUGGGCCUACUGGGUAGGGUCUUGUAAUUGGACUUUUUAAAUGGAUUUAAAUUUUUAUAUUAUGCUUUCAGCCCGGUCAAAUUUG
rnacentral:lncRNA from 1 species